rnacentral:lncRNA from 1 species
AUGGGCGCAGGCCCUGGUUCCGCUGGCCUCCGGCCGCUGUUAGGAGGGAGCUUGGGAGUCUUUAGGGUUCCUCCCUGGGCAAAGCUCAGAAAAAGGAGAACCAGCUCCGAGAGAGCACGUGGGCCCCCAGAGACUCUCCUCACCUUAUCCCUGACCCCCCUGCCCCUGCCCCUGUCCCUGUCCCCGUCACUAGCCCACCAGAGAAGGCAGAUUUGCGCGGCCACAGCCCGGCCCGAAGCGCACUGCAGGCCUCAGCGGGUGCCUUUCCCACCGGGCGGGUGGUGCGCAGGGAAGAGGCGGCGGCAGGCCCAGGGCCACCGGCCAAGGGCAGAGCGUCCGCCCAGGCCCCGCCGCCGAAGUGAGCUGCCGGCCGAGACCAGGGCCGCUCUCCCCGCCAUGGACGUUCCAGCACAAGCCCGGGAAGGGACGCCCUCUCCGGCGGGCACUCCUUGGCCAAGGGCGAGAGGGGAAGAGCCCACAUCCGAACGCAGAGGCCGAGGCCUCAGGAAGCAGAGGAGACGGGAUGCGUCCGAAGCAGGAAGGGCAAGUAGGGAACCGGCGGCGGGGCCUAGGCCGCCCCCCGACGGGGCUCGGAGGCCGGAGGCAGCUGUCCUGGAACCGAAGCGCGGCGUCGGAGAACCGGGGAGCGUCCACACCUGCGGCGGGGCCGGGACCAGCAAGGGGCCGGCUCCAACCCCGCAGUCGUGCGUCCGGGGCCACCUACGUGCCUCGCCCGGAAUCUGGCUCCACGACUCCAAGAGGGACACCCGGACCUGGCCCGGGGAGGUGGCUCCGGGGUGCACAAGACGAUGGCCGCUUAUUGCUGGGCGCAGCUUGGGCUGCAGCCUCCUGGUCUGGCCCUUCGAGGAGAGCCUCGCAGCCUCUGUUCCCCAAGGUCUCCGCGGGCCGGGCCACGAGGCCCCGCGCGGGAGCGGAGCUGGGAGGCGGGACCCGCGCACGACUCUGCGACCUGGUGGAGACGCAGCCACGGCUGGCGGGGGAGGGCAGCGGCGCCCGGACCCCGCGCUCGGGGGCGCACAGUGGCCAGCGCUGCCUCGGAGUCUGCGGGGGCAGGAGGCGCUCCGCCCGCGUUCUGCAGCAGGAGUCGCGCGGCGUGGAAGCCCUGGAUUCCCGGGACCGGGAGGUCCGCCUGCAGCCCUCACCGCAGACCUCCAGGCGGCGGGGGCCGGAGGACCGGAGUCCGGGCGGCUCUGCGUGGUUCAGUGCCAGGUGCCCUGA